rnacentral:rRNA from 1 species
GCAGGCCUAAUACAUGCAAGUCGAGCGCGCCCUUCGGGGUGAGCGGCGGACGGGUGAGUAAUGCUUGGGAAUAUGCCUUUAGGUGGGGGACAACAGUUGGAAACGACUGCUAAUACCGCAUAAUGUCUACGGACCAAAGGGGGGGAUCUUCGGACCUCCUGCCAUUUGAUUAGCCCAAGUGAGAUUAGCUAGUUGGUGAGGUAAUGGCUCACCAAGGCGACGAUCUCUAGCUGGUUUGAGAGGAUGAUC